AUGGAGUCACAUAAUUUACUCCGCGCUUCAUUGGAUGCUUCCUCUUGGAUCUUUUACUGUUUUUAUAUUGUAUAUAUGUAUUGGAGCUUUCCAAGGUUUGCAGACAUAAAACGACCCACCAAGUCUUCUACUGACCGAAAGCCGAGCACCCUGCUGAGCGCCAUGGAGAUGAAGAUGGCCGUCAACGCGGCCAACUGGCUCGUCGGCAAGGUGCUCAGCAAGCUGUCCGACGGGCUGGUGUCCACCUACAUGGCCAGCUCCGAGCUCGGCAGCAAUUUCCUGAACGCCAAGAACCAGCUGAUGUACACACAGGGGCUGCUGUCCGCAUCCGUGGGCAGGGACGUGGGCGACGAUCCUGGCCUGCGCGGACUUCUGGGGACGCUGAGCAAGAAGGCCGACGAAGCCGAGGACGUGCUUGAUGAGCUCCACUACUUCAUGAUCCAGGAUGAGAUCGAUGGCACCAAGGAGGCUGCUGCGGAGGUGGGCGGCGGCAUCAAGGGCCAUUCGGUCCAUGGACGCCAUGUUGCUCGCUGCACCCUCGGCAACUACCUUCCGUGCUUUUCAUCUCCGCGCACUCUAGGUGACGAGCCUCCUGCAUUUUCUGAUGCUGCUGCCACCAGUGAGCUACAUAGUGAACAUAUUAAGUUGCCAUUUAACAGAGUAGCCAUGUCCAAGAAAAUCAAGUCUGUCAUAGAGGAGAUGAACUCCAUAUGCCUGCUUGUCUCUGACCUGCUCAAAGUCAAAACUGCAAACCACAGUAGCAUUGCAUUAAGCAGACAUGUCACCAUUGAAAGGCCUCCAACUGGUUCCAUAGUUCCACAAGAUAGAAAACUGUAUGGAAGGAAUGACAUUUUUGAGCAAACUGUAAAUGCACUCACCGGUGGCACCUACCAUGAUAAAACCCUCUCUGUCCUGCCUUUCGUUGGCCCUGGGGGCAUCGGAAAGACGACCUUCACACAGCACCUGUAUAAUGAUGAAAGAAUCAAGGGGCACUUCCCUGUCAGGGUCUGGGUAUGUGUUUCAACUAAUUUUGAUGUGAUUAGGCUCACCAGGGAGAUACUUGGCUGCAUACCUGGAACUAACACAAGCACAAUUGAACCAACAAACUUAGACCAACUUCAGACAGCCAUUGCAGAGAGACUGGACUCCAGAAGGUUCUUAAUUGUGUUGGAUGAUAUGUGGACUUGCAAGAGUGCGCGUGAUUGGGAAAACCUAUUGGCCCCAUUCACAACAGGAGGAACCAAGGGCAGCAUGAUUCUUGUUACAACUCGAUUGCCAUCUGUAGCACAAAUGGUCAAAACAACUGAUCCAAUAGAGUUGCAUGGUUUAGAGCCUGAUGACUUCUUUGCACUGUUUGAAUCAUGUAUAUUUGGUCAUAACAAACCCAGGCUUUAUGAUGAUGACUUGGUCAAUGUUGCAAGAGAUAUUGCAAAGAAGCUAAAGGGUUCGCCACUGGCAGCAAAUACAGUUGGUCGACUGUUGAAGAAAAACAUCUCUUGGGAAUAUUGGAUGGGAAUUCUUGAAAAGAAUGAAUGGCAAAGUGCAAAAAAUGAUGAUGAUAUUUUGCCAUCCCUAGAAAUCAGCUAUAAUUACCUUCAUUUCCAUCUGCAGAAAUGUUUUUUUUAUUGUGCCCUCUUCCCAGAAGAUUACAAGUUUUAUGAUUUAGAAAAAAUCACUAAUUUCUGGAUUGCAGUGGGCAUUGUAGACUCAAGUUGCCGAAAUGAUAAGAAUUACUUAGACGAACUAGUGGACAAUGGUUUUCUCAUAAAAAAUAGUGAUAGGAAUGGUGAAUACUAUGUGAUGCAUGAUUUAUUGCAUGAACUGUCUCGGAAUGUUUCGUCACAAGAGUGUGUGAACAUAAGUAGUUUAAGUUUCAGAGUCAACGACAUACCACAAUCUAUUCGGCACUUAUCAAUCACCGUAGAAGAUAAAUAUGAUGAAAGUUUUGGUCGAGAAAUAUGUAAACUGAGGAGUGUAAUAGACAUUGGAAAUUUGCGUACUUUGAUGGUUUUUGGACCACAUGAUGCAGAAACAGGUGAUAUUCUGAGAGAUGCAUUUGAAGGAAUAAAGAGUCUUCGAGUUCUAUUUAUACCUAGUCUCCCAGGCAGUUUGCCAAAAAGCUUUUCAAAUCUUAUCCACCUCCAAUACCUUACAAUCAUGCCACCUAGUGAUGCGGGCCAUUGCCUGUAUCUACCUAGGACAUUACCAAGAUUUUACCACUUGAAAUUCUUGGACCUCGAUGGUUGGUUUGGUUGGGAAUGUAAUGUAAUUUUGCCUAAAAACAUUAGCCGCCUCAUGAAUUUGCGCCAUAUUUAUUCUUCCAAAGAAUUCCAUUCCCGUAUUCCUAAGGUCGGAAAGAUGAAAUGGUUGCAGGAGCUAAGAGAAUUUGAUGUUAAGAAGGAAAGUGUUGGAUUUGAACUGAGCCAGCUGGGGGAACUGACAGAGCUUGGGCAGCUUGGUAUAUGUAAUCUUGAAACCGUGGCAUCCAAACAGGAAGCUAAUGAUGCUAAACUGAAGGAUAAAAGAAAUCUGAAAGAAUUGGAAUUAGUUUGGGGUCGAGGGGAACACACUAUAGACGGUGAUGUUCUUGAGGGUCUUCAACCACCCCCUAAUCUUAGCAAGCUUAGCAUUAUAAAUUAUGCUUUUGCCACUGGUCCUUGCUGGUUGUGCAGUGACAUUAGCAUAAAAAGGUUGGAGUCCCUACAUCUGGAGGGUAUAUCUUGGGAUACUCUUCCAUCUUUUGAGCAGUUACCACAUCUCACCAACCUCAAACUGAAGAAUAUUGCUGGGAUGCGUGUGUUUGGGCCUGGAUUUGGUGGUCUUACAGAGAGAAGUUUUAUGCACCUGAAGACGGUUCAUAUUGGGAAUAUGCCAGAACUUGAGGAAUGGGUCGGGGGGCCCAAUAGCCCUUUGUUUUCAAGGCUUGAAAGCAUUCGAUGCUUAUAUUGCCCCCUUCUGUCCUCGUUUUCCUUCUUGGAGUGUUGUACCAACCUUUGUCGACUCCAUAUUGUUGGUUGCCCAGAGUUAUCUCAGUUUGCCCCUCUGCCUCAUACUUCUACACUAACAGACUGUUCUGUGAACAAAGGGUUAUACACAGGUUUGACGUAUAAUGGAAAGUGUUUGACUGCUGUUAGGUAUGAGGGUGCGUUGGCCUUCCAAAAUCUGGAUAGAGUAGAGGUUAUACAAAUUUAUAGGUCACCACACGUUUCAUUGUCAGUGUCGGACCUCCAAAAGAUGAAGUCCCUGAGACAACUAGAUGCCAGAAGUUGCAGCAGCAUGUUCUCUGCAGAAUGGUUCAAUCCAGUCGUCCUUGAGGAAUUGGCAGCCCAUGACAAGUAUUUGGAAAAAAAUAUCUCUGUAGCAGCAGGUCUGAUCCCGGAGGUGGCAAUGAGCAAAUCACUGCAUCCAGGUUCAUUCCAACUGGAAGAAAUGGAGGUGGAGAACAUCUCGGCAGUGCUUAUUGCUCCCAUUUGCAGACGCCUUGCCGCAACCCUUCACACAUUAAAGUUCUGUAAUGAUGACGUGACUGAAACCAUCACGGGAGAGCAAGAGCAAGCGCUUAAUCUUCUCACCUCCCUCCAAAGUCUACGUUUUACAGGCUGCAAACUGCGGUCACUCCCUCGGCUAUAUGGCCUUUCUUCUCUCAGGGAAUUUUGGAUCAGUUACUGUGAUGGAAUCCAAUCACUGCCGCCCAAGGAGGACCUCCCCGCUUCACUGCUGGUACUUGACGUAAUGGGCUGCAGCCGUGAGAUAAAAGAGCAAGCCAAGAAUCUAAAAAAAGCAAAGCCUUGUUUGAUUGUUAAGGGUAUUUGGCCACGGUGA
rnacentral:rRNA from 1 species